UGGGGAAUAUUGGGCAAUGGGCGAAAGCCUGACCCAGCAACGCCGCGUGAAGGAAGAAGGUCUUCGGAUUGUAAACUUCUUUUAUGAGGGACGAAGGACGUGACAGUACCUCAUGAAUAAGCCACGGCUAACUACGUGCCAGCAGCCGCGGUAAUACGUAGGUGGCAAGCGUUAUCCGGAUUUACUGGGUGUAAAGGGCGCGUAGGCGGGGAUGCAAGUCAGAUGUGAAAUCUAUGGGCUUAACUCAUAAACUGCAUUUGAAACUGUAUCUCUUGAGUGCUGGAGAGGUAGACGGAAUUCCUUGUGUAGCGGUGAAAUGCGUAGAUAUAAGGAAGAACACCAGUGGCGAAGGCGGUCUACUGGACAGUAACUGACGCUGAGGCGCGAAAGCGUGGGGAGCAAACAGGAUUAGAUACC
rnacentral:rRNA from 1 species